CCAUGUAGGCACCAGCAGUUCAUACCAGCUCAACUAUUAAUUAUACUCAGUUACCUGAACCUGUCCUCGAUCUGGCAAAUCUCAGACCAUAUGCAGAGCAGGACAGCAGAAUACUCUAAACUGACCAAGAAAAGCCUUUGUCCUUCCUGACAUGAAGGGAGCCAGGGAGCAACCUGUCUAAGUCACUGAUUCCUCUCUGUCUGAAUUUUGUCUGAAAAAUAAUAAUCUUGAGGAAGUUUAUAGGCAGAUGUUGGCCAUACGGCAGCAGAGGUUGAACCUUCCCACCAAUAUUCUGUUACAUGUUGUUGCUGUGUGACAGAUGGCAACAGAGGGCCAGUCUGACACAAUGGCAUGUGGCAUGGAAGUACAUACGAAGCAAAGCAAAAAACAGUAGCUGAUGAAAAGCUGUGUUUAGAACCACAUACAUUGGAAUGCAACUUCAGAUUAUGGACAAGAUUUAAACUCCAAUUUUCAACAUCAGGAUGGAAGUGAAGAAGAUAGAUGAUUUUUCCUGCGGAUUUUGGAAAUGAAGCAGGUUUCCUAAAGGCCAGGUCUUGUGUGAGAAGAGUGCUGUGUGGAAAAAAAGAUGAGUGAGCCAGACAGUGAGAAACUCAGGCCUGGAUGCCUGCCUUUGUCUUCUACUUGCUUGAAAUAUUUACAUCAGGCAGAUUAGAAUCAAACAACAGAAAUUAGUGCCCCGCCAGGGUUUCCCCCUGCAUCAGACAAGUUAGUACAUGCAUAGCAAUGACACCCUCAUGGGCACCGUCUACCUACAGGUAAAAGAAUUUGAAUUGCUGAUACACACAUGGAAAUCCUAUCUGACAGUGACUGUAGAGUGCAUCUCAAACUAACGGAUUUUUUUUUUCCUUUUCUGUGUAGACCUGCUGGAGACUUCUGUUCUGAAGCAGAAGAAGCGAUAUCCCCAGCCAGCUCUGGAAAUAAGAGCAAAUUCUCUUGAAGUAGAUGCUAGGAAUGCACAGGGACUCCAAGGAUAAAGAAAAGUAUUAACCUGACAAAGAGAUUUUUCUUAGACAUCAAGAAGCUCAGGGAUAAAAUGGAAAUUGUCAGCAGGCUGCUCUUACAAAAUGCCUUCAAAUGCUGAGCAGAAAGCUCUCCUGUGGUGUGCAAGUAAAGCUGUACAUGGACUGUCCCAGCAGCAGUGGGAACAGACCGCAACUCUGAAUCCCUCAUCACAUUCCCAUAGUUUGGGAGACCUGGGGGACACUGUGGUGCUUGUAUUCUGGAUCACACACCAUUACUGGCCAGUAAGUCACAAAAGUGUAUGUGGAGGGUAAGAACCAUUCUAGAUAAGUGUUUGGAUAUUUUUCUUUAACAAUAGGAACAUUUUGGUACAAAUUUGCUUUGAGCACCUGGUGAGGUCGGCCAGGCUGGGCCCGCUCUUCAGCUCGAGCAUCCUUUUGGCACGAGACAGCUGUUCAGGGCAGGAAGGAUCAGCCAGAGCAGUGAAAAGCUUAGGAAAGUGACACCAACAAAGUCCUGCAAUGGCAAGUGUUAGGAUCAGCCUCAUUACUAGCCUGUGUAAUGAUUUCACAUCAGAGUAUUCAGCAGGUGUUCAAACCUCUGUUUUGAGGUAAAGGGAACAAACAAGAAGAUCCUCAAUGAUUUUCUGUCUCCUCCUUAGUAAUGAGGAUAAACAUACAUACUAAAGGAUCCCAGUGGACUCAGGAGGAUGUGCCCCUCCUUAAAUCCUGUGGCUGCUUUAUCUGGAUCAAACAACACUGGCUCCAAAGGUGUGACAGCAGUUGGCCAGCAUGCAGUUGCUCUUGCUUGACCCACAUCUGGAAAAUCAACCCCAUUCCUCAGAAUAUCAAGGGAUAGCUUGGGGAGCUUUCUCAGCUUAACUUUGAAUGGACAGAGUAGAGAUUUGAUUCUGAGCUUCCAGUUACUCUCAUCAUUUUUCCUACUGGCUUCAUACAAAGUUCCCUUCUCUCAGUCAUUUUUCACUUUCCAGUGUCUCUGACAACACAAGCUGAUUAUAGAGUUGCUGAUUCUCACUGAUUAUUCAUAACGCAUUUGAUAUUUUUGUUUUGUGUUCUUUUUCCUUAAAAUCCCAGCUAUCUGAGUCCUAGUUUCUGUAUUUGGUUUCCUUUGUAACUAUAGAAGAAAUGUGAUGUCUCUCGUCUUAAAGAAAUACUUGAAAACUCAGUGGACGUGGAUGGCACAGUAAUCAGUGGUAAAUUCAAAUAAAUUGUAUACUGUUUUCUGAAGCCUUAGCCACAGUUUUGAACAAUAUGAUUUUAAAUGAUGAUCCUAGCUAAAAUAAUAAAUAUUUACAUAUGCUUUCAGAAAAUCUCUACUCUAGACCCCACCUUUGUGUCAAAGGAGCAUCCCUGCUUGUUUUCUGACUUCAGUAUUUUACACAUUUUUUUUGAAAUGUUGUAGUGAAGCCUAAAAAAGUAAUAUGAUGAUGUCGAAGUAAAUGAGGAUUUUUGCUUUUAAUCCUUUGCUGCUGAUUUGUGGUCUCAGGCAAGAAAUUUGUUUCUCUUUCUGCUUUGAUUCUCUGUCUUUGUGGAUGAUAGAACUUUUCUUUUCCUGGAAAUGCAUUAUUUUAAUCACUGUAAGAGAUAACAAAGAGGCAAAACACUAGGCUAGGGGCAUUGUGGUAAGCUUGAUAUCUCGAAAUUAAUAGGAAAAAAAGAAACACCUCUGAAGCUCUGGAUGUUUGAGGCUAGAUCACUGUAAAUAAUUCUACCAAGUUACGGCAUCCUCUGUGAGCCCAUGAGGUAAGGAUACCAAUAACAUUUGCACCUCAGUUGGUUAAUGAUCUGAGCCUUGCUGCUGCCUCAAGCUUUGUUUUUACGAAUAUAAGGAUAUUUUCAGCCCUAAUAUUGAGAAAGGCUUCAGAAAACCUACACAUCUGUGAAAUGACAAAGUGUGAUGAGUUUGCUUUACUCUAUCCGAAUAGGAAAUAUAGUACUUGCUUCUACGCUGCUUGAGUUUUGUGGCUAGAUUACUAUGUCCCGGGCCUUGUGAUACAUUUAUCUAACUUAGAAAACAAGAUGAGAAGAUCAGCAAGGAAAUUGCACGGUGCAUUGAUGCUUCACAGCUAUAAGUCCUAUGCACAAUAGGCACUGACUAAUACUGUUGGGUCUGUCUGAAUUUCAGUCAGGAGCAGCCUGAAAGGAAGGUAUUCCCCAGCUACCUCAGGAAAAAAUAGCCACCAGACAGAGAAAACUGCUGACUGACAGUGUUGUCAUUCAGAUAAAUGUCUGGUGUAUCACUGGCUUAUCACUAGAUUCUUCUUGUUUUGUUCUCAUUUUCUUGGGGAGUACUCAUUAAUCUUCUAGGGUCAGGCUAACAUCUUUAUUCUUGUACUUCACUGGUUUAUGUUUGGGAAAAAAAAAUCCAGGUUAUUAGCUUUGUUCUUUUGGCACCUUUGCAAAAGCACAAAUGAAAAUAUAGGCAGUGACUGCAAAUAGGAGCUAGGUUUCAGUCUCAGACACCGUCUUGUGGUUAGUAAAACCUCUCUGAGCAAAGCAGUGGUUCACCUGUGAAUAUGCAGCUGUUAACAAGCAUAAGGGGACAAAAAUACCAUGGUAAGGAGAAUCCACCAUAAAUUAGUGGUAUACCUGUGGAAGGAGGAAACAAAAAUGCUCCUAAGUGCCUGGAAAGGCUAGGAGAGCCAUUGUAAGUGCUCCUUUGUGCAAGUACCAGCAUGUUUAUGCAUCAUGAGAAGCGGUCAGGCUGCAAGAGCUAAGAGCAGUUUGCCAGGAACCCACAUGUCUGGAUAGCUGGAGUUUCUGAAAGGAAGGAAAAUUUUUAAAGCUGCCAUCAAACACAGAGGCAUGGCCUGCUGUUGUCCACAUCAGAGGUUAUGGCUGAGGACAGUGAAAUUUUGUUGUCCCAGGAUGAUUCUAGGAAAGUUAUCUAUCACAGCUGUGUUAUCCUUUGUUCACCUGCUAGCUAGAUUCUACUUGGCAAUUGCCUUUGAACAGUUUGAUUUCCAGGUUUUAUUAAACGCAGGGUACCUGCAGAGGAAUGAGACACCAGUGGUUAAUCAUAGCAAAAUCCAUGUCUUCCUGCCACAGAGAUGUCAAAGAAAGACACAGAGAAUGAGGCGAAUUGCUAUAAUUCUGUUGCAUCAUGGAAAAUAAAAACAUAAAAGCCAGGCACCACACCUUCCAAUUGAUUCCAGGUGGUUCUCUUCGCCCUGCCCUCACACAGUGAGGGCUCAGUCUCCUGAAGAGCUGGUGCAGAUAGCUCUGCCUUAACAUCAUCUUUUCUUCUAUUUCAGCUGUCAGGCUAUUUAUUAAAAGAGUGAGUGGAGGAUACAGGGUCCGUGUAGCAGUCUCCUUCCAAAUCCUGACAAGUAUGCUUAAGGACUGUUUGAAGUCUGCUCUGUCUGCCUAGGAUGUGACAAGGAAGACAACAUUCAGAUUCUGCGGCUAACAUCUGCAGCCUUUUUUAGUUAUUCUGAACCCAUCUCUUGAAGAACCUCUUUCUACCCACCACCUGAAGAGUUCUUAGAGGAAAACUAACUCAAUAGGCUAAAGUCAACAUUUGGCAAUAUCUCCGUGGACUUUACAAAGGGAAUUCCAUAACCUUCUGUUCAACUUCAGAGUGAAGAUGUGAUGCAAUGCAAGGACAGCUGGAUUAAUGCUGUGUGAGUGCAAACUUUUCAUUACAGAACUUCCAAACUGUUUCGGAGGGAAGAUUUGGAAGGCAUAGUUGUCAGAUCCAUGCAGUUUCUGGAGAUUCCAGAGUUGGAUCAGAACAUUGAGUCUUUUUCAUUUAUGGGUGUGCUCAAUGAGCAAAAACACUAACUGCAAAGAAGUUGUACUCUAUCCUGCAGUUUGGACUCAAGGCUGGUUGAGACAAGCAGAGAAAUGUUGAAAUGAUGUGUGCAGACAAUGCUGAGGUUUUCUUUUAACACAAGCAGACUGCUGGUUUCUGUAAAGUCCCCAGCAGUGAUGAUUUAGUUCACUAUAGAUCCCAUAGGAUCAACUAGCAAACAAAACAAUCAAAAUAAUGAACUAACUCUCUGAACAUCCCAGGUCUGUGAACAGCACGGAGAAGGCAAUGGAUGCUGUAGCAAAUUCUCUUCCUGGUUACAAAGACCAGAGCCUUCUGGAGCAUAUUUGUGCUGGGCUGCUCCGUUGUUCCAGCAGCAUGAUGCUAAGCAAAAGGAAAACUAUACUAAUUGGUCAGCAGGAAAUUUUCCUUGCACCAAAAAGCCCUCAUGGGGCUCAGGAUUGCCUGUACCUUAACACAGCUUAACGACAGCAGCCUUUAUAGUAGAGAAGGGCUGCAGAGCCUUUUCUGGAGACCCACGCUGCCUAAACUGUGGUUGCAUUAAAUGUCUAACAUGACUGGGAAGAAGGUGCAUAACCUGAGUGCUUGAGGAACAGUUGAGAAAAGACAUGGGAGACAUGCGUCUGGGGGUGAAGGAGCACAUGCUGAGCUGGAACUUCAUUUGGUGGCUCUAAACCAAACCUCGGCUCAGAGAGGACCUUUAUCAUCUUCAACUCUUCUGGCCCCUAAAUCCUGUCUGGCAUGCUACAGUGGAGGGAAUAAGCCAAGUAAGCUCAAGUACCAGAAUACCAUCUCCACGUACAUGAUCCUGCUUGCAGUGGCAAGGAGAGGAGUUAAUGGUUCCCCUGUGGUUGAAUCAGCUGAGCAGAAGUUAGCAUCACCCAGUGAUACCAGUGCUGUACGAAUACCCUGGGAACGUGGAGCCCAAAUGGAAUGCCUUCAGCUGCUGUGUAGGAUUCAAGGUGCAGACCUGUGAUCAGAAGCCCUGGAUAUGCUCUCUGGAGGGAUGUCAUUGCUUGCUUUGUUGUCAGAUGUGGCCAUGAGAAUCGCCCCAUUAUGGAAACAACACUGAAUUGGAAAUGCUAAGAGAACUGAACCAGAGGUUCAUUACCUCUUUGCCUUUCUUCAAUUGAGAAUGAGAUGGAGAGUCAUCGUAACUUAUAACACUGCUGUAUCAGAACUCACACCACAUCGAAGUAUAAAAGCUGUCACUUAACAUGAGUCAUUCUGUGUGUGCAUCUCGUGAGUAAACAACUGAAUGAGAAAUGCCAAAGUCUGCAAGUUAUCUCAGCACUUCAGUUGAGUUCAAGGGACAGAAGCUGGUGUGUAAAGGUGCAAAGCCACUCUUUUGGAUGAAUGACCAUCAUCUCCUGGUGAUUAUCUUUCAAAAUCUACGCGCAGAUGUCCUAAUGUGUUUUAAUACCACCUCCAAAUACAGACCUGCGGUUGGUUUGGGUACAACUAAUGUUCGUUGCUGAAUCCUGUGUGGACCAGAGCACCCAGAAAACAGACAACCCUGAGAUGUCAGGACUCUGAACUUCUGUAAAUAUAAGUGAGGAUGCUGCUGUCUAAAUAGCCUUCGGGGAGAAUUUCCUUUGUGGGACACAGACAUGACAGUGGAAAUAGCUAGAGCCUGCUGUAGGUUGGUGUUGGAGCAAAUGGGGAAAGCUGUUGCCAAGGAGGAAUAGGGAGAAGUACUUGAGCAGAAUGCAGACGGAGUGGAAACUCUCCGUGAGCCAAAGCAAUUUCUCACCAGUUUCCUCAAAGCUGCAAGAAUGUACCAGAAAGAUCCAUCAGCACAACUCAUAUAGGCAGAAACAAUUGUCCCUCCAGCCUCCAACUACAGGAUACCAUUCUCAAGUGCUAACCUUUUGCUAUGAGUAAAAACUGCAUGAUUUCUCCUUUGCUUCAGUAACUGUGGGCCUCCUCACCUGUGACAACUGAGAUAGCUGUACUGUUAUCCAUUCUCUGUUGAAAGAUUUGAAGUUUACCUAUGCUCACUUUCACUAUGGAUCAGAAACCACAUAACUUUUUAAUGCUAAGGAUGGUCAAUUGCACCUCAUCCAGUUUUUCUCUUCUUAAAUAAAUGCACACAGAUCAGCCAGAGAGCAGGCUGUCUCUACAAAAGUUUUAUUAUUCUCUUCUUGGAGUAGGUGAGGGGACCUAUUCGUACUUAAUCCUAUCUUGGCAAAUUAAAAAAAAAAAAAAAAAAAAGAGCAAUAAUUUCUUCUUGUGACAAUUUUCUCUGCUAUUGAAAAACACUAAAUUUACUGUUAGAAGACAUAGGCUAAUAUGGAAUGGAAAUCAACAAAUAAGCAAGGAAAAUGCCUAUGAUAACUGAAAAUCUUUGCCCAAACUGAGCCAAAUAGGUAAAAAGUGUCCUUAACUUUCACGUAGGUCUUACAGUAGAGCACCUGCAAAUUUUUACCUUAUGAUUGACACUGUUACAAAUAUGCCGAAAAAAAGAUCCAAACUCUGGAGAGACGGAAAGUUUCCUGAGUCUUUUGUAUCUAAACUAUCAGUCAGCUCCAAACUUCCAGAUGAACGCUUUGGCACAGCAGCUGGGUGCACAUCGGCAGACCUUUGCACUGGCAACAAAGUCUGAUAGAAGCUGAUGGUACUCCCGCUGCAGUGUCCAGGUUUGCUGGUAUGGUGAGAGUUUCUGGAUUGGUGCCUGUGUGCUCCUUCAGAGAAAAGCGAAAGAACCCCUAAUUCUCCAACUUUUUCUGCUGGAGCUGUUAAACACAGAAAAAAAAUUAGCUCCCCAAAGGUAGCCUAUUGUGAAAUAAUGAGUCACUGUCUCCAGUCUGUAAUUUCUAGGUUCAGGCUGAUGCUUUUGCAGCUGAACAUUUUAGACUAGACUUACCACUUCUCUCGAGCAGAUGUAUACAAUAGAAAAGUUGGGAAUUUCAAGAUAUAUCUCAUCAAUUUACUAUAUAUAACACAUCUGAGAAACUAGACAUCUAACAGUAAGGAAAGGGGGGAGAGACAGGAGCUGCUGAUCAGACUACAAGACCUGUUGAAGUACUUUUACCUGGUUAGAAACUUUUAGGACCUAAUGUUUAUCAGCAUUUAAAUAUAUCUUGAAGAAGCUAUUCAUUGUAAGUGGUAACGCUAUGCUAAACUUUUUAAAAGAACUGAGUACACUAUUGGCAGAAUCCACAACAGCUGUCACAAGGUAGCAAAUGAUCUUCAAAGUAGACAAAUACAGCAUUCAUGACAUCGCAUUUCCUGCCAAAUAUUACUAGUGAAUAAAACAUAAUGUGAGCAAGAGAGGUGCAAAAAGGACAAGAGGCCUGAAUAAAAUGUCAAUUUUCAGUAGAGGGCAUAAAGGCAGGAAAAUCUACCAUAAUCAGCCAUAAUUGCAAUGAGAUUCCUCACUCUUUUCCAGCAUAUAGAAAACAUAUUUCAUUGUCAUCAAUGUCCCCUUAUACUACAAAUGAUAGGAACGUACAGGUAACUGGAAAAUCAGUCUUCAGAAUUGAAACAUUUUAAAAUAGAACAAAUACAAUUGAUUUUAAGUACAGAGCGUGCAUACAGAGGAUUAGCUAAUACAAAAGUGCUGGUGGAGCAUAUUUUUGGGGAAUAAGAAAUUAUUUUCAAUUGUAUUUUUAUAAGAAUUCUACUGCACUCAUUCUACCAUAAAUUUUCCACUGCUGUUUAUAGACACGUCAAGAAUUCGAAGCCAUAACAUUUCAGAUUACAUCUCUGUGGGAACACAGCAAUAUGCAGACCACCUCACCUUUUCGUAUUUAGAUUCCCACAGAGAAAAAGUUUUAAGAAAUCUGGUUUGUAAUGAAAAGGCAGAGAAAUGUUUCAUCUUGUUAUUUUCCUCUUCUAAAUCUCAGGCUCACAUGUUCCCCCUUGGCUUCUGAAGGCACAACCAUUUACUUGUCAAUCAUGUGCAAAACGUCCCUUCCUAGAAAACCUUUUCCCUAGCUCUUAACAUAGUUUUGGAGUUGGAUCAUGGUACUUACUAAAGCUAGAAGCAGUAAGGUCUAACCCAGGAAUGUCCAACCUGCAGGCUGCAUGAAGCCUGGCCCAGCACAUCCUGUGGCCGUCCUCCUGUGCUGCACCAUCAUGGUAGUGACUCCUUUCAUCCAUUUUCAAGGAUGAAGCACAGGAAGAGUAAAAUUUAAUGAAAAAUAUCUGACAAACACCUUGAGAGCUCACUGAGAAUUGCAACUGCUGCCAUUGAAACAGACUGAUGUGUUAGUUUCACAAAAACAAGUUCAAAUUUCCCACUAGUUUAAUGCUUUUGUUGCCCUCUUUUUUUUUCUUUUAAUAAAAAUUAUUAAAUAUUAAAAUAAAUUUUGUUAUUUAUAUCAUAGAAUCAUAGAAUAGCUAAGGUUGGAAAAGAUCUACAGGAUCAUCUAGACCAACCAUUCACCCAUCACCAAUGGUUCUCGCUAAACCACGUCCCUCAACACAACGUCCAAAUGCUCUUUGAACACCACCAGGCUCGGUGACUCCACCACCUCUCUGGGCAGCCCAUUCCAGUGUCUGACCACCCUUUCAUAUACAUUAACUAUAUUAUAUAUCUCAUGAGGGCUGCUCUGAAAGUAAUGCCUCCUAUUUUACUAUGUUGGUCCACUGUGUCGGAGGCAGAUGGUGGUGGUAUGGCAGUAGAGGCUGAACAUUCCCACCAAUAUUCCAUUACACGCUGUUUGUUUGUAUGUAUUCCAUUACUGUCACUGUGACAGAUGGUGACAGAGGGGCAGUUUGACAGAAUGGUGUCUGAUGUGGAAGUAUGUAUGAAGCAAAGGGGUAUAAAUUAAUUUCUCUAUGUGGAAAUAAUGGCAUCCAUUGACUCUUGAUAAAAGUUUAUGGUGACCAAACAAUGGAUGUGAGCACAGUGAAGUGGUAGAUGAUGUGUUUCAGCAGCAGUGACUGCAGUAGUGUGUCACCUCUUCUGGAGCAGAUUUUUAUGAUUAUUAUGCCUGCGACAUACAAGGCUCUUGUUAUUGCUGGCAAAAAUGUAUAGCUAGUGGUGGUUACUAUGUUCAUAAAAUCAUGGAUUGGCUUGGGUUGGAAGGGAUCUCAAAGAUCAUCUAGUUCUAGCUCCCCUGCCAUGGGUAGGGUGGUUGUUGUUGAAAAAAUGUUUUGUAGCUGAGAAUUUUCUCUAUUAAGUAUUCUUAUUGUGCUCUCUGUAUCAGUUGUCGUUCCCAUGGAAAUAAAUAGGUGGCAUUACUUUUGAUUCAACCUAUAUAUAUGUGGCCGAAGACAAUCCCUCUUCAUACAGUGCAGCCCAGGCAAGCCAAAAGUUUCCACAGCCGUAGUCUAACCAACAGUUGUAUUAUCUCGACUGGAGAGCUGAGGAAGGAUUGCAAGUCCCUGGAGGUGUUCGAGAAUUAAGUGGAUGUGGCACUGGGGGACAUGAUUAGCUGGCAUGGUAGGGAUGAGCUAGUGGUUGGACUAUGUGAUCUUAGUGGCCUUUUUCGACCUUAAGGAUUCUGUGAUUCUAUAAGUCUGGCUAGUCAGGAGAAAAAUACUGCUUUUUGCCUUUUCUGUGUUAUGUUUCAGGAUAUAAUUCUUAGAAUAAGAAAGGAAGUUUAAACAGAAAUGAACCUAGCAUUUGGAGACAGACCCUAUUGUUUGAUGCCUCUAUUAGCAAACAUAAGAUCUGUCAAGGAAGCUUGGACACCUGGUUGUGUGUUUUUAGCAAUGCAUGACAUGAUAUUUUCUGUCUCUUUGGCUCACUUCUGAUGCAGAGGAGGUCUGACACUAGCCCCAUGGGAUUUCCUCUGUAGAUUGGAACUGCUCUGGGACUCCUCUUAGCAGUGCUGUCAUGCAUCUGAUCUGCUUGUGAGGACUAUGACAGACAGCUGACCAGCCAAAACAUGCCCUCGAUGUCUCUUAUUUGCCUAGGAAGGAUUGAGGUGAGCCAAGCUCUUCUCCUGACCUACUGGGCUCAUUCUUCUGGAGCUACCUCACCAGAGUGAAUUGCAUCAAAAAGAGAGGUCUCCUGCCUGUCCUUAGAUUAAGUGUAACCAAACCUGACUUUAGUUGAAGCCACUGACUCUUGCCUGUACAGGACAUCGAUGCCAUCCUGCAACAGUCAGGGCAGAGCUUAAGCUUAAGGUUUUGGAGAUAAGGAACAAAGCCAAACCUGCUGCUGACUACCAGAAGGGCAGUGAUGUGAGGGGGCAAACGUAGGAGAUGAAGUCAUUCUGAAUAUGGUGAGUGACAAAGAAAUAUACGUUCAGUGAGAUGAUACUGCAGGACAUUGCAUUUAUCCUGGAGUUUCCUGAAGCCUCAAGCAGCGAGAUACGCAGGUGCUCUGCUAAUUCUGAGUGAUUAUUUUGAAAAACAAAAACAAAAAACAACAACGACAAAGAAAUUGAUUCCCAUGCAGGGAGUUGGAAGGCUUAGGAUUUGAGCAGGUGGCUUUUCGUAGCACACUGUUUAAUCUGUGUGGACAUGAUUUAUAUUGUUACUCAUGUAGAUGAUCCUCCUCCACCGCCCCAAUUCAGUUCAGAGUGACUAACAGUUUCUAGGAAAUCCCCAGACAAAGACAGGAUUAGGGCUGGCUCUGCAAUGGCUGUCUGAAAUAAUAGGAAGGAAAAAUUUUAUUGUUGAGUUAGUCAAGGCCCUCAACUUAAGUAAGGACGUAUAUUCUUAUGUCUCAUCAUUAACUUCUGGACACGCAACGGUUGUUACUUUGUUGUUAACACCAUGGUUAGCACUAGAACUGAGAUUAAGGUACUGAUAGGCAGGUAAGAAAAGAUUUUGUUCCUGUUAGACCCAGGAAGUUAUUUUCUGGAUGAAGCAAUUAAUUUUGGUUAGCACUGGGAUGAGCAUGGACUGCUGUAAUAUUGAUACAGUUAUGUUUAGGUUUAGGAUUAUGCUCAUUUUUAACAGAUGAGAAAAAUCAGGGUAGAAGAGAGGAGUUUACUUGCUUGAUUCUGCAGGACAAGAAGAGCUUGGAUGAGGAAUGGUGAAGAUGAGACUUAUAACUAGCCAUAUACUGUUAUGUGGGUUGCUGAGGCUAUUGCUAGUGCUAACAUUGAGUCUGUGGUUUGUAACUGAAGAGCUUGAGGAACUGAGCUUAUUCCUAAAUAUCAGAGGACCCUGUGGCUGGAUGAAGGCUGAUGUCAGGCAGGAUUUUAUGCUGUGGGAAAGUUGCUCCAGGGGAGGUUUGUGUUGGAGAUCAGGAAAAACUUCUCAGAAGAGCAAUGAGACACUGGCACAGGCUGCCCAGGGAGAUAGAUGGUAGAGUCACCGUCCCUGGAGGUGUUCAAGAGCUGUGUGGAUGUGGCACUGAGAGACAUGGUUAGCAGGCAUGGUGGGGAUGAGUUGACAAUUGGACUAGAUGAUCUUAGUGAUCUUUUCCAACUUUAGUGAUUCUAUGACUCUAUGAAAAGACUCUGCAUUGGAUAAUGUCUUGGCUAGUACUGAAGGUAAUAAUAACAUCUGAGGCACAAUAUGCUCAAGGCUUAUCAGUGGCAGAGAAAAAGUCAAAAUCCCCAGGCCCAAAGAUGAAGAUCAGGUUUGUCUGAGGGGAAGGAUGGUGGUGGGACUGGGAGUAAGAUGAGGUGGGGAGUGUUGCUGCUUUGGCUGUUACAUGGGAAAUAAGAGAGAGGAUAGGGACUCUAGCUACUCUAGGUAGCACUCAAAUAGGAUUUCUAGGGCUCUGGUGCAGGCGGAUCUGGAAGACAAGCAUGCAAGGUGUAGUGCUAGCUUUGUGUAUGCUUUUAACUGAUGCUGCUCUGAGGACUAAGGCUUACUGAUGGAUGCUGCAGGACUUUUAGUAUUUCUGCUGACAAAACCCACUGGCAUGUAGGUACUUUUGCAUGUCACUGCACUCUAGUUGAGACUGCACUUGAGGCAAGGAUUACAGCUAAAUAGCUUAGUAGGGUUUGAAUAACUGUGCUUAUUGUUGCCUCCUCAGAGGCUUCCAUGGCAGGUUAAGGGAUGGGCUGAUGAUAAAACAGAACAGCUGGCUCUAGCUAUGCAAGAAUGACUGGGAGGAGGAUAGAUGCAUGCGGGGGUGAAUGCUGCAUGCUGUCAGUAAGAUCAGGGUUUUUAAGGGAGGCUGGUGAAAGUGGGAGAGAAAAAAAUCAGUGGAAAAAGGAAUGGUGAGAGAGAAAAGUGAGAGGGAAGAGAUGAAAAACAGAUGCAACAUUCUAGAGCUUCUCUUUUCAUCCCUGUCCUCCUUCCUAUCUUCGGGUUACACACUUAACUCAAAGCCUGUCCUUUCAAAAAUGAAGCACAGUAUCAGAUACAGCUUUCUGUGUUGUUUACAGUAAAUACUCUGAGGUUUGCUUGUAAGACCUGACCUUUUUUUCCUUUUUUUUUUUAGCAUCUUGAGAACACUACAGCCUGUUUUUCUCCAGUGCUUUUUAGCAGAAGACAAAAUGCAGCAGUCUUUUUUUUUUUUUUUUUUUGAAGCUUUUGUUCUGAGCCGUUUACACAAAUACUUUUCUAUUGUGUGUCUUCAAAUCUCUGGAUGUUGGUCCUCAUAAUUCACCAGAACAGGAAUAGAGCUUUAAUUAUCCAGAAGUGUUAAGGAAUAAUCUACCUAGUAUAGAUCAUGAAGAAGAUGAUAAAGGACUAAUAUAGAUGUGUAUCUACGUAUUAGGGUUGCUUCAAAAGUAGUGCAUUCCAUUUCGUUUUGUUGGCUUGCAGUGUCAAAGGCAGUUGUUGUUGGUAUGGCAGCAGAGGUUAAACCUUCUCACCAGUAUUCCAUUACAUUUUGUUGCCAUGUGACAGAUGGCAGCAGAGGGGAAGUCUGACAGAAUGGCAUCUGACAUGGAAGUGGAGAAAAGGUGUGUCAUUUAAUUACUCCAUGCAGAAUAAUUGGCACCCAAUGACAUUUGUUGAUGCUUGCUGGACAUUUCUGGAAACAAAACAGUGGAUGUGAGCACAGUAAGGUGGUGAGUGAUGUGUUUCAGCAGUGGUGACAGCGACAGUGCUUCACCUCCACUGGUGCAGAUUUUUGUAAGUGCAGCAUACAACACCUUGUUCAUCACUGGCAAAAAUAAAUAGCUAAUGGUGGUGACUAUGUUGAAAAAUAGUGUUUUGUAGCAAAGAAUUUAUCAAGUACUGUUAUUAUAUUCUUUGUAUCUGUUAUAUCCUUCAUGGAAAUAAAUAGGAGGCAUUACUUUCGGAGUGAGCUACAUAUAUGUUUGCAUGCAGGUGAAGGAGUGAAGCACUAGGAGUAGCCAGCUCUCAAUAGAAGUAGCCAGCUCUCAAUAGAAGUGUAGCUGCUUCUGGGUUGAAUAACAGGAGAAGCAAGAUGCUGACUGUGAUUCUGACAUGAUAUUGCGACUUGAAAUCUAAUUCAGGAAAGAACAGAAUUUAAAUAACAUUUGGAUGCAACAGCAGGAAACAGAAGGAACAGGUGCUUAACAAGAUUUGUUUUGAUUGUUUAACCUCUUUGUUAAUGCCAAAACCCCAACUCUGUCAGGUUUUGGCUUUAUGUACCUCCGGUAAGUUGUACUUUUGGCUGUUCCAUGUCUCAGAGCAUUUCUUCUGCUGUUCAUUUGUCUCUAAGGAGCUAGGCCUCUGUCUCUAAGUACUUUUGAUCUCCAGUGUAUGUAUGGCUUUUUCUUCAUGAGUCAGUGGAACUACAUGGCCAUGAAUAAGGCUCAGCGUUUGUUACACUGCUCUGCGGGUUCACUGGAUUAUCAGCAGGAGAGACUUUUAGAUCUCCUUCCCAAAAUAGAUGAAAUUUGUUGCCUAAGACGUAGAAACUGCAGAAUGCUUUUUUUUCUGUGAUCAUUGUAAAAUAUAAAAGCAUAAAUGAGUGUUUCACAAUUUUUCAGCUGCUGGUAUAGUCUUGAUGCAUAUCUGCUUAGUAAAACAGGUCUCUCACUGCUGGCACCCUGCUGAGUGCCUCAGAGUGCACAAUAUUGAAGUUGCUUUACAUUUUGGAAGAAGCCUACUGGUUUAAACAACCUUUUAGUGAAGAGCUCUUUCUCCCUAGUCUUUCAUGCUCCAUUUCACGCUAUUCCUUGUGUUUAGCAAGUCAAAAACUAUAGCGACAUCUGCUUUAAGAAGAAGCGUUCUUUAAUGAUACAAGUGUUUACUUCUAUUGUGACUUUUAAAAGUUCCUUCUUAACUUUCUUUGAAGGAUUCAGGGUCCAAUGAGAAGAAAUUACAUGAAGUUAUUUCUGUAAAAGCAUGCUUUCUUUAGGAUGGAAUUUCAGUAACUUCUGGAUGAUAGACAGAAUCUAUUUGACACCAGAUUUUGCCUAUGUCAAUCUCCCCCUCUCCUAAGCACUCUCCACUAGACCUCUACAUGGCAGUUUACAUGUGUAUCUCUAACUUUUUAGGCUUGUUCUCACAUAAAUUUGUCCUGUUAGCUGCUGCUUUUUGUUCUUAGUAUUCCUCCCUCUUCCUGAUUGCUUUCUCACCCAGUGUGCAGUCCAGUCUGACUGAUGAUCUUUCAACAAAUAAGUGGUUUUGACGCUAGAAUCUUAUUAUUUAUUUCCCUUUCCUUGUUUUCAUUUUUUUCAUAAUUAGCUUUCUUUUUUUCUUUCCUUUUUUUUUCUGCACACGCUGUUCAACCUCCUUGAAAAUCUCACCAUUCUCUGAAUAAACAGAUUCAUCUUUUCACUCUGUUCCAAAAUAUGUAUAUAUGAGAAUGCAUUAUCUCCUUACCUUGCCCUCUCUGCAUCUAGUGUGUUUUAUUCACUAAAUAAAAUUGUAAUGAUUAAGAGUGCCAUAGCAUUGUAUGCUGAAUGCAUUUCCUCUUACUCUGAGUGGUUGACUUAGCUAAGAAGCAUGGCAGAGUAGACCAACUCCAGCUGAAUCAACUUGGAGGUAAGUGCAGAGGCAGGUGAUGGAAUUGGCUGGUUGGGGAACUGGGUAGAGCCAAGUGGUUUUUGGAAGCAACAUGGGGAAAAGGAAUUUUUUCAGAAUGAAUGGUGUGGAGAAAGUAAGGUUAGUGUGCAGUCUUCCAGAAGGGAGGAAGAAAUGCUUUGGGCUAUCUGGAUACCGUAAGUAUUUGAAUAUAUUAUCAUAAGAAAGAGGCUAUUCUCCAGAGUUAUGUUUUGUUGACCAUUCCUGCUGGUCAAGAGGAAGUUGUUAAAAUUAGACUGCUGGCUGGAAGAGUAUUAGGAAAUUAGUUUGGAAAUUUUACUGUGUUUUAGCAAUCUGUGUAAUUCUUUGAGUAAUUCUUCUGGGGCUUGCUGCCAAUUAUCAGAAUCGGAAGACGAGCUGACGGGCAAGGAGGCCGGGCUGGCUGAACAGAGACCUUUGGCUGGAUCUCAAGAACAAAAGAAAAGUUUAUGGUCUCUGGAAGAGUGGGCAAGCUACUUAUGAGGAUUAGAGGUAAUCUUUUAUUUGGGAGAAAAAAAGGAGCUAGAUUUACUAACGGCACAUCAAACAAGAUGCAGCUGUCAUUUAAUUGCAAAAACAUGAAAUUAUUUCCAGAUAGCAUUUAAAAUAGAUUAUCUAUAAUGAAAUGAAAGCUAUUAUUCUUUUCCUUCAAGACUGACAAAUUACAGAAGUUUGCAGCCCAAACCACCCACAAGUCUACACCGAUAAACUUGCAGAGGCCAAACAUAAGAGAUUACUCUCUCAAGGAAUAACAAAUUGCAAGGGAUGCUGAGAAGACUGACAGUAGAGAGGGAGGGCAGAUUGAUGAUGUCUCCUUCAUGAGAUGUGCAAAAUUGAGGCAGCCCAAAUCUACACCACAAGAUAUGUAAUUUAAAGCUACUUCAGAAAAGGGUUUGUAUGACAUCUGAAUUAAAUCUCCAAAGCAGAGCCUUGGCAAGGGAAGAAGAGGCUCAAACAGAAUUGGAACAUACAGAGUUGUGAGCUCUAAUAGUAACCUUUUGCUCCUUCAGCAGCUUAAUGACAUCAACUUUUCUCAGCAUUCCUGUGGUGAAAGACACUAAUGAUACUCUGCACUCUUAGUCAUGUGAUUUCUAAAGACUAUGUUUGUGAAGUCUUCUGAUUAAAAAUAGCACCAACUAAACAACAAUGUUGCUUCCCCUGGGACACGUACAUGUAAAUGCUUUGAUGAUAGGAGGAGGUGGACAGCUAAAGAUACUAGGUAAACAGAGCCUUGUGAAGAAAAGUUCAUCUGAAAAUAGAAGAACUUUACCUACACAUUAUGGAAUCAAACUCACAGACAGAUAGUGAAUAACUUGUUGCAUACAAAAAUGGUAUCUGAAGUGCUGAAAUGAAAUGUUUGCACUGAAAUAUGCUGUGCAAGAAUUGCUUGGUAUGUCAAAUUUCUAGCAGGAUUUUUUGGAAGAAAUAGUGUAAAUAUAGACUAUCUACUUGUUAGCAUGGAAGGUAAGCAAUGAAGAGAUGGGACUAAAUAAAUAUCAGAUAUCAGAAACCUCUUAUUUAAAAGCAGCAAUAUAAUCUUUCUUUCAGUAUGCAUCCUAGUUAAUGAACAGAUAAUUAAUCUCAUAGUCUAGAAGCUAAAAACAAAAAUCACAUAAAGCAGCAUGGGUGAGCAGUCUUUACACAUGGAAGAUAAUACAUUGAAAAAUUAGAAGUUUUUCAGAUUCAUGGGCAUACUUCUUGCUCAGUUUAGUGUUAUUUUUUUCCUCAUUUUCCCAUGAGUUUUUUACUUUGACCUUUUAAGAAGUUUUUAUGAUAAGUAACUCUUUUGUGAAUCAGCUGUGAUGAUCUCUGUACUGUGCUCAGCCUGCUAAUGAGAAUAUUUUUACUGCAAAGUUGUCCCUUUAUGUGGCAGACUUAACACGGAAUUUCAUGUUAUAUAUAACACUAAUAGGAGCAUGAUUUUAAAACCAUUUUAAUCCACCCAUUUAAAAGAAAUAGUUUUUACUUGCAGUGAUAUUAAGUUCAACAGUCUGGUCUAAGAAAUUUCAGGGAAGAGAUUAAUUUUGUUUUAUGCAGAUACAUGCAAUGCCAAAAUCUAUAAUAAUCUUUUUCUUUCUUUCCCCCCUUCCAUUUAUAUUCAGUAGUCCUUCUAGGGUGCAGCAUUUUGCAACGGAGAAUCAAGUGUCUAAGAUAGGUACUAGUGGAUGUCACUGUAUGAAGAAAGAAAAGGGGGAUGCCACGCUGCUCCUGUAGAUAUUCACUUGAAUUGUGAAAUGAGGCAGGCAAGGAUUCCCAAGUUAAAAUCAGUAUUGGAACUUGACCCACUGAUUCAGACACAAGACAAACAUCUUACGGUUCAGAAAAAAAGGGAGUUCGUCAGCCUGUCUUUCAGAAGACUAUCAGGUAAAUGCAAUAGAAAUACAGAUGAUUUCAGCUUACGGUCAAAGUUACUGCACUGUAAGAGAGUUAAGCAGGUAAGUCUGUUUCUCUACUAAAUGACUGCUGAGGGAUUCUCUCGCCUGUGAUUUUGGAGUUUCACAAUGACAUUUUCACAUGCCACACUGUUGGCAGGUGAGCAGAAUCUACACCCUGCUGCUUCUCCCGUUCAGACUGUUUUGAGAGUUAGAAAAUCGUAGUUAUUUAUAACAAUUUUAUAAUGUUUCAUGAAAAAAGGUUUUCAGUGAAUGGGGUUAUUAGCAACAGUCCUCAUGCACCUCCAUGAUUCCUGUGUUUUCAGACUUCAGCCAUUCUAUAAUGCAUCUGUGUUUCAAAUUGAAAUUAUUUGCUACUAAGAUAACUUUUUAAUAAUAAGUAUAUAAGGAGGUAGUCAAACAUUCUUUUGCAUGGAGAAGAGAAAGAUGAAACCAAAGUUUUGACUUGGGUUGAACUUUUCCUUAACCUUCCGAGCUUGAAAGAGCACCUUUUCUGUCUACAUUUCAUGUCUAGUUUUAAAUUUUCUCAGAAAGGUGUUUCCUUCCCUAAGCUGCAUUAAAAAGCAGAAUUCAUCAUUAUAAAGACAAGGAAAUGAAUCUUCUGAAGUAGCAAAUAUAGGACUUUUUGAUCUGAAGGUGUUUUCCUUCGCAAGGCUGGAGGAGAGAUGAGAGUGUGAGAUGGUGACAGUGUAAUUCAGAGCCCCACUGAAUGUUGUUCUGCUUUUGGACUUCCUUCCUUUGCUGCAAUAAAUUACAAUGUAUAGGUGAAUAAAUGAGAAAAAGUGCUACCUCCCUUUUGAAGCAUUUGUUGCUGUGGCUUUGAAGGCAUAGCUACAAGAACACGUUAUUAGAAAUUAUGUUUUUAUUUCAAUUAUUUAUUUAUUUAUUUAUUUUUGAUCUGUCAUUAUUAGGAAAUGAUGUGAUAAGGACAUAAAAGAAUAAGACAUAACUGUGAAUACCAAGCAGCUGAAUUUUGGGCCCUUUUUGCAGCCCACAAUUCAGGGCUUGAGCCCUGCUCCCUGGGGGGUUGACCGUGAACAACCAGGCAGUCUGCUGCUGUUCUGGGAGUGCGUUUCACCCUCUUUGUCACUGCUUUAUGAUGUCUUUCACUAGCUAGAUGAAAUAAAAGCUUAGCUGUACUUCUGGUGAUUGUGAAGGUGUAUGUUUUGGAAGGUUGAAAGAGCAAAGGUGGUGCUUACUUCAGGGCCAAAGGUGUCAGAGCAGAGCUUGUUUGCUGGGUUUUGCAGAAGGGCUGCAGCAUGCUGUUACUGACAUGUGAAAGACGUGUUCAGAGAUACGUUACAGAACCAAUGAUGUUGCCUCCAGAGCCAGUCAUUAAUUGUGACGCCUAGUGGAUCAGGAGUGCUUUGUCCUCUUAGUUUUCUGAAUUAUUAUUAUGAUCCUUUUUUAAUGCUUUUCCAGUGUUUCUGCAGAACGGUGCAACUCUUAUAGCACAGGUGGUUUUACGGAAAGGUGUCAAAUUAUGUCAGCAAUAACUCACACAGAAGCAGUGCAAACUUUAGGACACUGAAACAUACACCCCAAAAGAAAUGGUCCAACCACCUAAUUGAAAACUGUUUUAAAUUGUCAGAGUGAUACCAGUGUUCUUCCUCUCACAAGAAAAUGUGAUGUUAUCUGUGCUUGGUAGAAGAAUUCCUACUGCUAAAGAAAAAGAGGAAGCUGUUUCAUACAGGCGGGAAGGUGACAGUUCCAGUCUACGCUGCUCAGUGUUGGGCAGCCUGUACAUUACUCCCCAUGAGGGCCAGAACUUUGCUAAUGGAGGGUAGAGAGUAACCAUAUGGUACCAAAAUAUUUCCUGUAUUCUGGCAUCUCCACAAGCCAUUUCUGUAUGUCCCUUUCCUGGCUCUUAUAAUUCUUUUUUUUUUAACCCUCUCUAAUUUCUCCAACACUUUCUUAAUCUUUCUUUUCCCUUUCCUGAUCCUUUAACCGGACUUCAUGUUCUUAUUCUGCCAUUCCCUUUCCAGUUCCUGACCCAGAAAUCUCUCAGGUGGGGUGGGAUGUUGCUGGGAUAAAGCAGAAGUGGUGGUGGAGCAGGACAAGGAGUUAGAAAUGAAAACCAGGGAGCUUUGAAGCACACCACAAAAUUUAUUGUGCUAAUUCCCUGUGCAAUUCCCAACAAUAUGCAACAUUUUUCUCACUCAACUGGAAUUCCCUUCCUUUCGUCUUCUCCUGUGCUCACCUGUACCUGGGAUCAGCCUGUACAUUUCCAGGGCAUGUUUGCUGGCCACCCAUUCCUCCAGCACAGAGUCUAGGAGGUGCCAGCUUUGAACUGGUGGAAGGACUGUUGGGAUGUUGGUGAGAGGCAGAGAAACUACUAGCAACCUCUUUAUGCAAUUCUGUCCUUACAGAGAUGGAUAGAUGCUGUGUAGUGCAACAGACAGCAGUGCUUUUAUUUGUACUGUGGCAGAGAUCCUAUCAGCAUGAGAACAAUAUUAUUUACAUAGGUGACACAUCUGAGAAGACACCCUCUGAGUGUAUUAUUAUUACUUUAAAUUCUAUAUCAUUAAAGGUUUAUAAAAAAUGUGCAGCAAAAAUAAAUAGGCUUCUGCAGUAACACCUCUGAAAUUAAAGCAUUUAUAGUGCUGAGGCUAUGAAUAAAGCAAAUUGAAUACCUUAAAAUCUUUGUGCAUCUUUAAAUAUCUUUCUUUAUAUCUUAUAUAGAUAUCUUAUAAAAGCUGAAGGUAUCUGAAAGCUCAGAGCAUUGUUCAAACAGUGAAGCAAUGUACUUUCUCAAUUACACUUUCACCAAUACCUUAUGGUGUGGCAACUAUGCUUAUAUUAUAAGAAGCUUGUGGGUUUUUUUUGACCCCUCUGGUACUAUCAUAGGGAUGGUGCUCACUUGGGAGGAAACACUUUCUGAUAUUCCAUAAAUGUGAGUGUUCCCAGGUGCAUUUCUUGCGUCUCAGCACUACUGUGCCAUUUGGAUAAUGCCAGAGGGCAAACAUUGAAAAGGCUUAAGAAGCACCAAGAGGGAGAAGAAAACUUUAGAAAAUGCUGUUGUGAAAGAUGGUGUGAUUGUAUGAUGUUCUCAGAUGGAGGCAAGUUGAAGAGCUUUACUUCUCCAGUCUGGACAUCUUGAGAAAAGCUAGGAGCAAACAUAACUAGGAAGCUGCAGAGCAACUUUCAUUGGUGAACUACUGGCAGAACAGAAUUAGCCAGCAGCUCUUCAGGUAGCUGUAUUAAAGCUGAACACAUUCUAACAGUUCUAGCUGUCCACAAUGAUCUGCCAGGAGCCCUGGCUGGAAUUUAUUGGGCCUCGGCUGAGAAACAUUAGAGCUGGCCACAAAACAUGAGAGAGCAGUGAUGGCUUUCCUAGCAAACCAGUAGCACUGGUGGAGACAAACCAGCACCUACCUGGAGCUCUUCUGUGAGCAGUCAUUUACUUAUCUUACAGUAGUGGAGCACCUGGGUGUUCCCCUCUUAGCUCCUGGACCAGUGGGAUGUAUACAUCCAAGUCUGGUGCAACUCUGGCAGCUAGUUCUGAGGACUAAGGUAUUUAUGUGGAGUAAAUCUCUGUUAGGAUUUGCUCAGGUUUUUAACUAAGAUGACUGUUGCAAUCUCGAGAAAGGCAUGUAGUUCUGGAGCUGGAAUGCACAUACAGCUAUGCAGCAGCAUUUAGAGUGGAAAUGGCACCUGCUCAACCCAUAGAAAUAGGGAGCUCCCAGGAAAACUGAGAGCUCAGUAAAGGAAAGCUGCAGGGAAGUUAAUUCAGAGGACAGACAGAUUCAAUUUCUUGCUUUUGCAUCUGUCAAGUUGAAAUGAUAAUCCAUUUCACCAAAGGUAUACACUAAUUACAUAGACACAUAAAACGUAUUAAUCUGGGGGGAAUAAACCUAAGCGUCUUUUACUUUCUCCACUCUAUUCUGUCCAUCCCUUCUCCCAUCUUUCAAUCACACAUAUGAGUCUUAGUACCCACAUUAGAGACCUUUCUUUCCCCACACAUUCAGAGACUAUUGCGUACUCAUAGCUCCCAGAGUACUGAGUGGGUUUGAUGUACCAUCAGGCUAGAACAUGUUAGGAGCUAAUUCUGGGAUGUGUGAGUGCAGGAAUUGUCAUGGGAACAUAGCUGAUAAUCAAGAAAGAUAAAAGUUCCAGUAGGAAAACAGGCAGAGGGAGGUUUCUGUGAUGUUGCUCUAAACAACCUUAAAGAAACAGUGAUUUUGAAAUUAUUUCACAGGAGAAACCAUACAGUAGAAAUCCCUGACUGCAAAUUAGCACUAAUAAUUUUAUUAAAAUUAAUUAUAAUAAAAUUUUAAAAUAGCAGUAAUCCCUAUUACUGCAAAUCAGCGGUAAUAAUUUUAAAAAGACACUUUAAACAUUCUUUUUUUUUUUCUUCUGGCUUCCUGUAACUAAAAUGGUGUUGAUUAACUUUGCUAAAAAAAUAAAUCAAUAAAAUUCUGUUGGUGACAGAAAAGGAAGGGUUGAAUGAGCCCGCCACAUGACCAGCCACCAGUCCUUUAAUUCAGUUUCCUAGGGAAGAUUGUGCUGUCUGUCAGUCCCCAUGAGCUCCUUUUGAACUCAUUGCCCAUUUUUAACUGCAUUUGCAGAAAGAUCAAGAGUUCUUACAUGCUUCAUAAAAACACUCAGCCAAAUAGACAUAAGGCAAAUCCCCUGGUAAUGGAAAAGCUGCAGCAGGAGUUCUACCUACUAUUAGACAUCAGAAAAUCUGUAUGAGGGAACAGGACUGAAAACAGUUGUAGAAGCAAGAGCUACAGGAAAGCAAGCUUCAAAAGUUUCCCUGCUCAAAGAGCUUGUUGGGAGCUGCUAUACUAAGCUCUGUAUGCUCUCUUCUAACCUGUGCAGGGCCUCUUGAUAAUUAAACUGUCAACAUUUCCACGAUGAAAAGCUGCAUUGAAAAAUCAAUGAUCAGUUGAUAUUGCUGCACACAGGGAAGACAGAAGCCUUCGACAGGUCUGCAGAACCAAGCUGUGAAUGCCUUGUGCCACCUCGCUGGGAAAAGCGCUGCGAGACUGAACCACCAUCCCUCAGUUCUCAUCCUUUAAUCUUACGCCUGCCUACAGAAUGGACUCCCAGUCCUGCAGUAUGAACAUCAAAACUCAGAGAGGCUGCUUUGGCUGAGACUCGUUCUUCCCUUGGGAGACUCAGCUGAGACUACGUGAUUUAUUUUUGAAGAAUGGAAGUCAGCUUUUUUUUGAAAACCAAUUGUCAGGCUUGAGGUCCGUCAGAGACAGGAGUGGUCUUUGCCUCUGGCUGGGUGCAUGAACACUGCUACCAACUAUCAAGAAAAAAAAUGGACAAAAUUUGCUAUCAGGCAAGAAAUGUUUUUAUGUGGAAGGGGGUAGCAGAAUAUGUUUCCAAAACAGCGUAGUUCUGCUCUUUAGUUUAGCAUCCCUUAGUUAAGAUUUUUUAUUUUCAAUUUUAAGUGUCAUUGCAGAUCUUGUAUUUUGUACCUCAACAAAAUUCUCCUACCUAGUUAAUUGAGUUUGAGGGCUGCUUGUAUGAGUGACAGCUCCUCCCACUCUUCUUUCUUACUCUCUUUGACUUCAUAACCUAACCUUUUCCUUCUGCUUUCUCCCCAUUCCCCACCAGCACCCAAGGAAGAAAUUGUGUUUAAAGACUCAGAAGUACUGCUCCCAGCAGGAUGCUGAGCUAUAUUGCUCUGAAAAUGUUCAAGAUGUAUUUUCCUCUUCUGUUUUUAAAGAAUGAGUUAUUGUUACAUUCAGAAUUUUACCUAGUUGUCAUUAAUGAUUGAUAUGUUUUUUUUUCCCUAACCUUUUUUCCUUCUAACUUGAAAUUAGAAAUUAAUGACUGUUUUUCUGAAAUUAAAUAUCAUGCUAUAGGCAGAAGUCUCUCAAGUAACUAGUGAUACACGCCAUUGAGACAGCAACUGAUUUGGAAGGGUUGUGUCUUAAAAAAAAACAGCCAACCAACCAAACAACAACAACAAAAAACAACAGUGAAUAUUAGUCUAAUACCUUGUUUUCUUCAUUCAUAUUUUUCUGGUACUUUUAUAUUAAAACCAGAUGAAGAUUCAGUCUUUCUCUGUUUUUGUUUUUGUUAUUGUUCUAUUGUAGUGAUUCUGUACUUUGAAGUGACUAAAAUGACUUAACGUGAUCAUAGAAUCAUAGGAUCACAGAAUGAUUUAGACUGGAAGGGUCUUCAAAGUGCACACAGCCCCAACCCCUGCCAUGGGCAGGGUUACCUCCCACCAGCUCAGGCUGUCCAGGGCCCCAUCCAACCUGGCCUUGAGCACCUCCAGGGAUGGGGCAUCCACAGCUUCUCUGGGCAGCCUGUGCCAAUGCCUCACUGCCCUCUGAGUGAGGAAUUUCCUCCUAACAUCUAACCUAAAUCCCUUCUCUUUUAGUUUAAAGACAUUCACUUUCAUACCAUUAAAAUAUUGCUCUCCCUCCUUCUUAUGAGCUCUUUUCAUGUACUGGAAGGCCACAAUGAUCUCUUCCUGGAGCCUUCUCUUCUUUAAAAUCUGAUCUAUUUAUUUCUUAGAUAUAGCUUUAAAGAACAAAAGAUGUGUACCAUUAGCCUAAGAAACUGCCAGUAGAGCUAGUAAAUAGUUUCAGUACAAGAUUAAGGAUGAAGCUAAAGAGCAUGAAACCUUACUUGCUAGAUGAGAGUAGAGAAAUGAAACAAAAGUGCACUAAAAAGAGAUCAAGGAGUGCCACCAUGGUCAACACACACACUGUGGGUUUGUGUUUGCCAAGUAACAACCUUUAGAAAUGUUAACUAGCAAGUAAAGCUGGUUUCCAUUUUAGCAUUUGUUUCUCCUGAUGGUGUUAUCUGUUAUAGGUCAAACAGCUACUAUGGAUGACAGCUUAAUAGGUCAUUUUAAACAAAAUAUACACACUGAGCCACCGAUUAAAGAUCACGUAAGUAAGUGAAGAUGAGACAUUUGGUUUUUAGGUGGCUACAAAGGCUUGAGAAUUCCACAAUGAAUAUCAAAUCCUGUCACAAUAUCAUGUACACAGGCUGUUCUUCUCUGGGGACCAUGCAACUGCUUUACUGAAGAGCAGUUCAUUUCCAGAAAAAGUGUCCACUUUAGGAAGGCUCCCAUUCUUUGCUUUUACUUAGGUAUCUGGAGAGCCCACCACAUAACAGCAUCUGCUGCCAACAACAGACUAUUUACCUUCUUUACUUGUCUUUCCUUCAUAAUUAUAUCCAAAAAUAGGUCUUUUUAGGUCAAAUCUGCCUUUAGGGGUGGUUCAAAAUACCACUGACUUUUGUGCCAAAAUCUAAAGGAGGCACUUGAGUCUGCUUAUAUUGCUUCUUCACUUUGUCAUCAGUCUCGCAGUAACUGGCUUGUCCUAGUGAAAAGAGUCUUGUCUACUUUCCUCAGGAGAAAACUUAGUAUCUCUACACCAGUGUAGAAAUUUGAAACGUGAACAGAAAAUUUAAACCUGAAACAAGCAUAUCUAAACAGAAAAAAAUGUUUGUACUGCUGAGAGAUCCCUGCUCCCUAGCCCAAGAGGCAGUGUGGCCUGUGCCCACACAUUAAUCUCCAUUUAGAGCAGUGAAGGCAGCUGUGCCCACACUGCAAAACAACUAAAACAGGUGUGAUGUUAUUACUAUUUCAGAUAUUUUAUGGUUCAAAAUAGCUGAAUUUGUGUGAGGAAUGACCCAGAAAAAUGGCAGAUAUAAUAACAUAAUUCCAAGGGGGAGAUAGGUUGUAUGUUCAGGGAUGUGGCAUGGGGGGUUGUGAGCCCUAAAGGACAGAAGGGAGUACAGCAGAGAAGACAAUGUAGGACAGAAAGAUCUGGUUAAGGUCUCAGCUACUGUACUUAUUUGAUAUAGUCUUUUCAGUAAAUAAUUUCUGGAUCCACAUGUGACUGUUGUCUUGGAUGACACUAUUGGUUUUGCUCCAAAGCUAGGUGCAGGAACAAACUAGCAUUGAUGCAGUUUGGAUGAUCAGGAGAUAUGGACUUGAGAAUAAAUAAAGGAAGUGAGUGUAAACAUAUCCCUAGGUCCUCCCUCAUAAUGGAAAAUAGUUCCUUAUUCUAAACAUAAACAUUAACUAAAAAAGCAACCCCCCAAAACAAAAAAAACCCAACAUUAAUAGAAAAAAAAAAACAACCACAUACACACAACCACCCUGGUCUAGAUGAAAGGAAAUAUACAUUUCAUCAUUUCCAAAACAUCAGGGGCCUUUUUUUGCUACCAGCAACUGUCAGUCUUCAGGUAAUUUCAUAAUAUAUCCCACAGUACAGUCCUUGAGAGGAGUGAGAGUUGACUGAAAGACAAAAAAAUUAAAAGCCUUCAGUAAAAGGCAAAGUGAGAAAGAGCUUAAUUUAUAGCCCUAAUGUAAAAAUUCUUUGUGCAGAGGAGAUGGUAAUUAUGCCAUUAUGCUGGGCAGGCCCAAUACAGAAUAUUGUUUAUGCAGAUACAAGUGUUAGUGAGGACAGAAUGUAAGUCAUUUCCCUGGGAAAGAAAUAAGCAGCCCUAAAUGCAGCUUUUACGAAGACCAAAAUGAUAUUAGACUUCUAAAGACAGAAUUUCCUGUUUUCUUGAGUGGAUAAUUACAUUAUUUGCUUGUUUUAUCUGAUAUGUUUGGAUUUUUUCAAUGUCACUGAAAAACAUCAGUGUCGCCGUCUGCUCCUGGCUACCCUCCCCGGGUGGCUCUGGUUCAUCCCCUCACCAUGCCUGGGCCCUCAGUGGGUCCCAUCACCUGUGCGUGGCCCUGCCUGACCUGCUCAGGUCCCAUGAGCUGUGCCUGUCCAUGAGGCAGAUCUCAUGCAGCACUUUGGCUCCUCAUAUGCCCUGCCUGGCAGAGAAGCCUCUUGUUUUUCCUCACAUAUCCAUUCAGGAUGUGAAUGGCCAUGUAGCAGUCCUUCAAAAGCAAUCUGCUGGUUACAUCAUCUGGACAUGAAUCAGUUCUGAGAUGUAGUUGAUGUGUGUUCACAUGUACGUCUCUAACUGGUCAGUCCUUCCUGAUCUGUUUGCAUGCUUUGUUGUUCAUGCCCAAGAGCAUCCCUGAUACUUAUUCUAUUGAGCUACAUUUCUUAAAACAACUUUGAAGUCUAAUUGAAUUUUCAACUUAUGUGCAUUCUCUGUCAAGAUGGUACCACCUGCACACUUACAAAGUGUGCAAUAUAUUCCCUCUGCUAGACUGGUAAGGAAAAAUUAAAUAUUAAUUAUUAUUGAACUAUUAAUUAAAGUAUUAAAUGACACCCAGGAGCGUCACAGCCUGCAUCUUGAUGGUAGUUGUAAUAAUGACAUAAGAUAUAUUUUCUAAGUUUUCCAGCCUAUGGUACACGCUCCUUCUAUAUUUUCACCCAAGCCACGUUUAUGGCUUUGUGUCUGUGGCAAUGUGAGAAGCUUGUCCUGUAGCUACCAGGAUUUAAUAUAAUGCCACCUGGAGGGAAAUACUAUAACUGACUAAGAUGAAUCUUAUUACAAUGCUGCACGUGAUCCAAAUCUGCUUGUGUUCUCUAGUGGUCAAGACAGACCACAGCCUGAAAUCUCUCCCAAAGAUGAUAUUUUGAUAGUAAGCCUCUCUGUUUGAUACUAGACAUCUCCAUUUCAAUUUUAUCUCUUUUGCUUUCAAGAGUACCUCCUUCUAUUCCAUGGCUCAGUGAGCCAUAGGUACCAUAGUGAGCUAGGAAAUUUGUACUCUGUGGGGUCCUCCAUCACCACGUAAUAGGGUGGCUUGGCUAAGCCAUUGAGAUCUCUUAUCAUCUAACACAAAUCCAAGGAUAAGACAAUAAGUACAGACAGUUUCAUUUUUCCACGUGGAACUUCAUAGAUAAUCUUAUGCUUAGUACAAAUGAACUGAAGAGAUUUAAUGCUAUUCAAUCAUAAGUGUUUUUUCAAGAUGAAGUGAUAGGAAUGCUUUCCUCUUCUUCCAUUGGAACGAUCAACUCUUCUCCAGCAAAAGAUCUAGUUAUGGCCCAAUUCUAUGUAUCUACAGAAUAUAGUUAUGAUGCAAAGAAAUCAUCUGUGUGUACAGCUGGAAAAUGCUUUUUUUUUUUUUUUUUUUUUUUUAAAGUACUGCAUUAGCUCUGCUACAAGUGUUCUACAUACACUGGUUUUGCAACUGGAGGAAAAACAAGAGCUUUGGUAAUCACUGCUGCCCACAUAGAAAGUUUUUCAGUCAAGGCAGUGUCAGAGCAUUUCAUUGUGAGUACAAUCAGUAGCAAUCCAUGAAUUCAAAAGACCACGAAGCUCAGACAGCUGAGGACAAGGAGAACAUGGUCUGUCUGAAAUCUAGCUACUGUCAGAUAAAGGAAGAUAGUGAGAUUGGAAGGAAGAGAGAAAAUGCAAUGUGAUGUUGAAGUCAUGCUACUCUGUUGACCCUGAGUGAUUCACUGAGCAUCGUGUCCUCCGUAAGAGGUAGGAAGCAAUAAGCAAAGAACUUUUUGGCACUUCUAUCCAUGAAAAGGCCCAAGCCAACUCUUCUGCUCUCAUCAUUAUGCUGCUGUAGCAGCUAACUACAGACAGCAAUACGAAGUCAGUGUUACCAUGGGCAAAAGGAGUGAAAUUUAAUUAAAAUAAACUUUUAUUGCCAGAGAAGAGGCUUCUGACUCUUAUCUGUUUGCCCAGAAUUGUUGCAGACUUGAGUAUGUGGUUACAAGUACAGUAGUUAAAGCUCAUAUAUUCUAUUUUGAAGGUCAAAAUUCUCUAAAAUUUGUUACAGUUGUGAUUGUGAUUUAUAGCUGCAGAGAUGGGAAGUCUUCAUCAACCCAGGGGAAACUGCCAAAUGCAACCACACUUCAAUAGGCACAAAGUACCCUCUGGAGGAAUUCCUGGUUUUUGCUUUCUCAUAAAACAUCCAUCAAAUUGUAAUCACUUCUUAUUGCUGCACAAGCAGUAGCUUUUUUGAGUUAGGUAAGCCAGUUCAGUCAUUCUCAUUUAAUCUGUCCUAAAUUUUCAUAAUGGAUCUGACCUUUCUGUGACUCUCUUAGUUCUUGUUUCUGCUCUUUUUUUUCCCUCUUUCUCCAGCAGGCCAGACCCCUACAGUUCCUUCACUGUUGUAAAGUUUUGCUCCUUCAUAUAGCUUUGAUGUUGGCCUCCAUGAAGUUGGUAUGUGUGCUUAUAUCGAUAUGUAUGUAUUUAACAUAUAUUACACAUAUAUGUGCACAAAUAAGUAGACAGAUCACCUUUGCCCCUGUCUACACCUCAUAGUGACAGUGACAGUCUUGAGAGAAUAAGCUAGGUACACAGUGCAAUAUUCCCCAUGGUGAACAAUGACUUUUUAAUUGUUUAGCAUCUAAGGCAUAAUUGCUGUGACUGCUAUUGGGCCAGACGACUUGCUACUUUGUGUCUGAAUGUUUUGCCAUCAAAUCUUCGUAUUUUUCACCACUGGCUGAAAAACAGUUCAAAGCCUGAAACGGUCACGCUGUCAAUGAACUCAGUGGAAUAAUAGUUUCUUACAGAAUGCAGUGAAUUAGGCUCAGAAUGGAUACAGACCAUUUCUAGGGAAUAGUAAUCAAAAUUCUAAUUAAGUUGUCCACUUCUUCACUGUGGUAAACCACAUCUUCAACUUUGGGCUGCUUGCCCCUCAAAGCGAAAUUUUCAAAGUUCAGCUUGCAUUCUGUCUAUAAAAAAUGGUGCUUAGACUUACUCAACAAGGCUAUUUGCUGAUGUGGUUUUCCUUAAGACAAAAUCACAGCUAGUGGUUAACAGAAAUCUUCUCAUUUGUUAAUGAAGCUGGUGCAUGGGAGACUUUAGGUUGGGUCUUUUAUGGUGCUGAGUCAUGAUAUAAUAAACCAUACUUGCUACAUAAAGCUGGCUAUCCAGUCCUCAGUCUUAGACUCCAUGCCUUUUUCCUGGUAGAAAAGCUGCAAAUACAUUCUUAGAGAUGCACAGCUGUAAGAAUCAAAGCCAGCUUUAUAAGUUUCCCACAUCUGAGUAAUCCUCCCAAAUUAUAACAGCAUACCCUCCCACUAUAGGCAAGGGGAACUCAAAAAUAAUUUCUCACUUCUUAGGAUGUCUCUGCCUGUGUAGUUCUUUAUAUUCCCAUGUGCAUUUUCUUCCUCCAGGAACCAAAGGAAAACGGAAUGAGGAGGAAGCGUGAAGGAGAUGACCACCUUCCAUUACUAAAUUACUGAUUUAUAAGGAGAAGCAUUAUGAAAGUAAAAAAAAAUAAGCAUGUAUCACACACAUUCCUAAAAUUUUCUGAAACAUAAGCUGAUGUUAAUUAAAAUGAAAGGUGUAUGUACUGAGGGACUUGCCCAUCCGCCAGGAGUAGCUGCCUUGUUCCUCCUUUCCCACCACAGACAUCCAACGUCAACUGGAAAAAAUACUUUGUUUUGUUCUUGUAUUGAAACUGAUAAUUGGAGACUUUAUGGCAAUUCUAAACAUAAUAUAGUAGCAGAGGGCAACAUUGUGCCUCACAUGUAUAAUCACUUCGCAAAAACUAAAAAAAAAAAAACCCUUAAAAAAAAAAACCUAAAAAAAAAAAUAGAACCAGCAGACACAUUUUUGGUAGAAUCACUUCAUACAAUAGCUACAGAAUAAUGUAUCACAUUGACUGGUCCAUCUUGCUAAACACCACGACAAAGUAAAUGAGCAUUUGUAUAAAAAUGCCAUAAGAGUUGAAGCUUAAAUUAGAGAGUCUGUAACCUUUGUUUGUGAUCAUAAAUUAUGGAGAAGUCCUGCAGGGAAAAAAUGCAACAUUAAAAAAUGCAUUAAAAGCCAACAGAUAUGACCCAUCAACUAGUAAAAAUGUAUUGUAUUAUACUAUAUACCUAACAUUACUCACUUAGGAUUGCUGUACUAUACUUCCAACAGUUUCUACAGUUAUUUCACAGGUUAAAUGAGCAUCCACAGAUGGGCACUGGUCAAAUGACACACGGAUUGUCAUUUAAAAGACAAAGGUAUAAAAAUAUUUUCAAUUAAUACAAUUAGUGUCCCUUUCAUUCUGAAGCUACAAAGAUUUCCUCUCUGUUUCUGGAUGAAGGGCUAAUACUUGGGCAAGACACAGAAUCUGCCAGGACAUAUGGCUUUUUUUUUCCCAUGAAUAACUUAAAGAAAAUUAAGGAAGAAAAGAAAAAGUCCUACUUUUUCAGAUCCAAGCUGUAACUUCUCACAGCUAUGCAUCAGUACGUUAUAAGAGGGCUAAGUUUUAAUCACUGAUAUCUUCACAAACACUAAAAUGGUGAUAUAUCACCCUCAGAUGUGCAAGUGGCACAAAAAUCUGUGAGCAUUUAAGAGAUGUCAUGUGCAGUAUAAGCGCUUUCUUUCCGUAAUGCACCUCAAGUGGUAUCUCAGUACUGAAAAGUCACUCUUCAAGCAGGGAGUGCCUCCUGCCUGAGUUUGUUCUGUUAGCCCUUUCUUUUGCUGUCUGGAUGAAAAAAAAACAGGUAGUUGGGAGCCUACAGAGGAGAAGGAAGGAUGGAAGAAGGAAAUCUGGUGGUGCAUAUUUGCAGGUUUCACUGAAGAACUGUAGAAGAAAAGCUUGUGGGAAAAAAUAUUGAAGCAACAGAAGCCCAGCUAUUCUUUCUUUAAGAAAGCAGAAUUUCUGACUUACCUAAGGAUCUAUUUUUAUUGUUGUAUUAAAAUUUGCCAAUGACUUAGAGUUGGUUGCCAUUCUCCCCCCAUCUUUGGCUCUACAAGCAACUUCCACAAUUAAAUUGAAGAAACUUUCAAAUAUUUCUGAUAAAGUGAUUCUGCCAGACCUGCCAAAUCAUGUAAAAGAAAGAAGACAUGAUCCUGCCUGUGAACAGUAACAGUGAAGAGGCAGAGGUUGGGGUACCAAGAGCAGUAUGCUUACAGCACCUUAAAACAAGAAAUGCUGUACCAUUCCCAGUGUUCAGACAGUACCAUUCUCAGGAGUUACUAGUGCUUUGGGCAGCAUUGUUGAUUAGUCACUUCAGUGUUCAUCUCUUUCUGCAAGAGCUCCCUGCUUGCUAACUCCCUUUCAGCUCAACGCUGCAGAAAAGUGAGUGUCCUGUGUCAGCAUACAGCAGCAUAUAUGUUUGUGAAAAAAUAUAAACCUUGCAAAAUAUUUGCCUCUUGGGUCAGUAGUUCUUAACAUUCAGUGGUGUAUAAGUUAACAAUUAAUUGACAUUCUCCCCUAUUCUCAACAACAAGAGAAGUGAUGGAUGGACAUAAGUUUUUGGAAGAUGAAUUCAAAUAGAGGUGUAAACACAGUGAGCACCAAUUUGGAGCAGAAGCCAGUGCUAUGUACAUUGAAGGGCAUGUCUUUCCUCACCAUUGUCAGCAGUCCUCUGUGGUUUGAAAACUGGAAUCACAAGUGCUGUGCUUGGCAUCUGUCAGGUUGGUAUGUGUGCUCAUGCAAUAGUGUAUACACAUGUAUGUACAACUAUGUAGAUAAAUAUGACAACUUUUCAGAAGGGAAAGAAGAGAAUCAGCAAAGAGCUACAGAGUCUACACUAAUACAUGCUUUUUCUUUUUCAGAGUAGAACUUGUAAGUUUAGUUCACAUUGUGGAUUCGAGUUCAGGUCAGUCAUAUUUAGCAGCCAUGCAACUGAUACUCUCACUCGUAUUUUCCCUUAUUUUAUGAGGGAGUGUUUUCUCCAUGCAUAUAUGUGCUACAUUUUUUUGUUGUUGUUGUUGUUUUUAAUAACUAACUUCUCAUUUUCAUUUUGCUCAUGUAAACAUCUGCUGGGUUACUAUUCUAAGAACAAAAUAGCUAAUAGUAGGAAGCAUAAAUGUAUGUGAAAUGAUACUGUCUAAUAAUGCAAAGAGAUAUGAUCUCCUGAAGUUGAUUUUGAAAGCCAAUGGUCUCCCGGUGCCAUCAAGCAUCCAACUAUUAUGGUAACUGUAUAAAAUUAACAAUCUCUCAAACAAAAGGCUGCCAGAUUAAGCUAUACAAACGGCACCAAUUGUGCAGGUUUCUAUCGCUUAAGUAAUUGCAGGGUUGAGAAAUAUCACUUGUGUAGUUCAGGGUGACCUUGUUUUGUGGAAUUAAGAUGAAUGUUCAUUUGUUAAUAUUAUAAACUGAAAGGAUUCAAAGCCUGCUUGGAUUUUCAGAUGUGAGUGCCAGCAUCCACAGUCAGUCAGCAUACCAGAUUGCAUGUGCACAGCAUACACAUAUCUAUGCUGUAUAGAUAGCACCAGCGAAAAAUUAAGCAAAGGAAAAGCAAACUCAGAGAGAUGCCGCCACAUGAGAUCUCAUCUACAAUCAGGUUAAUAAAACAAGUAAGCACGUUUGCAAGCCUAGAAUGAUCUAGGAAGGUUUUCAUUCCUCAGUCCAACUUUAGGAUAAAGCAGAAGCGGAGUCCUGCUCUGUCUGAAGCCCCACUAUUUCAAGUUCUCCAGCGGCACCACCAGAGAAGCUAAUUAACGAAAACCGAAGGAUGAUGGAAAGAAGCCAGGUAAGCCAUAAACCGCUCCAGAUAUAAGCGCACAACAAGCAAGAUAAUGAAAAGUUAGCAGGAUUUACCGUCUUAAUUAUCCAAGUGGGCGUUUUGUUUGGGUUGGAGUUUUUGUGGGAGCGCCGGGAGCUGUUUCCCGAGGACAGGUCUGUACGCAUCCACGCCGCGGAGAGCAAAGCAGCAGCCAAAAAAAAAAAAAAAAAAAAAGGGAAGAGCUAAAAAAAUAAAACCCCCGGGGAGGGAAAGGAAGAGGAGGUACCCACCGGCCGGGCAAACUCCGCCGGCUUUGCUCCCGCAGGGCUGAGAGGCGGCGGCUCCGCGCAACAAGAGCGCCGGGCGGAGUGGAGAGGUGGGCACCGGGAAGCGGCGCGGAGGGGCUCCACCGCGGCCCCGGGGGCUGCCCACGGGCUGAGCGAGCCGGACACGGCGAGAGUCCCCGCGUGGAUCGCGGGUAUCCGGCGCUGGGUGGAAGGGAUGCUGCGUGUUCGCCGCUUUUUCAGUCUCCGCCUUGUGCCGAAGCAGUGGGUGGGAGGGGAAGUCUGUAUCAGUCUCUCAUCUGCCGCGGGAUUUUGGAUCCUCCGAAGUGUUGCUGUCCUCCUCCCAGAUAUUAUGACCAAGCUGUGUGUGAUGCGGUGCUGAGGUGGAAUAUGUGCUCAGCUCUCUGCAGCGGCUGCAUACCAUCUGGCAAAGCUGUGUGUUUAGACCAGGAGAUCUGGAAGUGGCCAAUACUUUGCCACUCCUGAGCCAUGACUGAAGGUACCCAACUGCUAUCUGUGGGGUGAGCCCCGUGCUCUGCAGCACCGACCAGCAGUUGUGCAUUUAUUUAGUGCCUUCCCUCUGCCUCCCUGGCACUCAGUGCUGGGCCUGCAUGGGCAACAGGUUCCUGCAGUUGCUUCUAGCCUGGCAUCCCAAGAGACUGAGCACAACGUAGAUAACCUAUCUGCAAGUACAGCUUUCUGCUCCUCUUACACUGUGUGCAAUUGACUGUCCUCACAGACAUUUUACUUUGGUACUAGGUAAACUCCGGGUAUCCUUUCAUCAUCUCAUGAGGUUUGCUGUUUGCUUGGAUCUCUGCUUACACAAGUAUUUGUUUUUGAAGCAAACCAGAAAUGUAUUUGGGGGGAACCAGCCCCUACAUGCCAGAACACUAGUGUGGAUAGCAACUCUAACACUCUCCCUCAUCCUACAGCUGCACUGUAGUUCCACCAGUCUCCUUAGAGGCAGUCUCCCUUAGCCAUUUGGUGUCUGUGGUGGCUGCUUAGGGCUUGUCUUUCUGCAGGCCCCUAAGGUUCUAGCUUUAUAUGAGCUGAAUGCAGUUUUAUCUUUUGCAAGUUAUGGCUAUACUGAAUGAAGUCUUCUCCCUCAGCAACCAAUCAAGUGAAUCUCCUGCUGAGUUUUGAUUUAAUGAAUAAAGUUUUAAUUAUACAAUUAACCUUAGCAAUAAAAGAGGUUAAACAGAACACUUUUGCUCUGUCCGUUGCUGCCGGUGAGUAGGAGAUGACUGUUUAUUAUUAACCUGCAUUUGCACUGUGGUCUGCUUCUGGACUUAAAUUGAUGCCAUCACAAUGAGCCUAAUGGAGGAUGUGAAAGUGCCUUUCUAGAACAGACAAUUUAGCAUACGAUUUUUCUGCAGUGCCUGUAAACCUUUAAAAAGGAUUUUGUCCUAGGGAAAAGGGCUUGAGUGACAUUGAUAGUGGCAGAAUUUCUUCAGUAAUUCCCAAAAGAGUGUGCUGGAGCAUUGAUUGUCACAGUGUGAGCACGUAAUCUCUCCAGCUCCUUUUUCAAAUACCUCCUUAGGGCCUCUUGCUUCCUGUGGUGUGAUGCUCACAACACACUUGGGAACUGCUCGUUGCUACUUUGUGAUUUGUGUGUUCUUUUUGUUUUAAAACAUUGCCCAGCUUCAGACUGCACUUUUUUGAGCAAAGCUGCCCCUGCCCAGCACAAAGGCAUCUUGGCCAGCUGCUGUGUCUCACAGCAAUAGUUUUGAUGGUAGCAAGAAAGGGUUUUUCUCUUUUGAUUAUAACAGGUAGCAAUUUAAGGCUUAUUUCAGAGAGUACAUUUUUUGUUGUGUUGUUUUACAUAGGAGCAGUCACACUGGGUCAGAGAGGAAGUCGUUCAAAGUCCAUUAUCUCCUCUCAGAGGAAAGCUGGUAGCGGGUCAGAGAAAAGUACAUGACCUGGGCAGCCUUGUCCUGCAUACUCCCUUGUCUUCCUGAAGCAUAGGCACUACUCCCUUUGUGAACACGUUUAUUAUGUUGGUAUCCACAAUGUUCCUUCAGCAAGCUGUUCUAUGGCAGCACUAGCCAAUGGACUUAUACAAAGUAUUUCUUGUUAGGUUUAAACAUCUGUUUUGUUUGUUUGUUUUCUCAUCUUGUGUGUCAAACUGAAUGUCAAACAGCUGUGACAAUUUUCUUCCUAUCUUAACUGAUACUUUCAUUAGAUGAGUUACACCUAUUUAAACGCCUGUACUUGAAAAGUUUGCAGGCCAAUGAACAGGUAAUAGUUGCAUUCAGGGCCACUGCAGUUACUAGGGGGAGAUAGGCCUAUGCUUACAUACUUGGAUCUCAAUUCUUUGGAGAUCUUUAUUUUUUGUUCUGAGUUCCAUGGAACCUGUCUCAUUAAAAUAAUGAUCCUGAACUCAGGCUCCAAGGCACUAUGACAGUACAAACAGUAAUAAUAAAAUUAAUAAUAAAAAAAUUAAUACAUUGGCAUGGUGUCUAGGCAGUGGAUGCAGAAUACUGAUGAGUUUUGUGCCAUCACUGCAUGCAUUUUAGUCCCUUUCGGAGCAACUUUAUGCAGAUAACCAUUUUUUAGAUGAAAAAUAAAAUAAUAAUAAUAAUAAAAGAUUAAAUGAAUUCAAGAUCGCAGUCCUGUUUGUUUCUAAACAGUGUUCACCACAGUGAUGAUGAGAUUCCAAUUUCUUAGAAUCACAGAAUCAUAGAAUCACCAUGGUUGGAAAAGAUUUCCAAGAUCAUCCAGUCCAGCCAUCCACCUACCACCAAUGUUUCCCACUAAACCAUGUCCCUCAGUGCAACAUCUAAAUCCUUCUUGAACAUCACCAGGGAUGGUGAUUCCACCACCUCCCUGGGCAGCCCGUUCCAGCUCCUGACUACUGUUUCAAAGAUGAUUUUCCUAAUGUCCAACCUGAAACUCCCCUGGUGCAACUUGCGGCCAUUCCCUCUCAUCCUAUCUCUAGUUACACGGGAGAAGAGGCCAACCUCCACCCUGCCACAACCAACCUCCCCUCAGGUGGUUGAAGAGAGCGAUAAGGUCACCCCUGAUCCUCCUCUUCUCCAGACUAGAGAAACUUGUUCUCCAGAACCAUUAUGAUCUUUGUUGCCCUUUUCUGAACAUUCUUCAGGGCCUCCAUGUCUUUCUUGUAGUGAGGGGCCCAAAACUGAACAUAGUACUCAAGAUGUGGCCUCGCCGGGGCUGACUACAGAGGGAUGAUCACUUCCUUGCUUUUUCUGGCAGCACUAUUUCUGAUAUAACCCAGAAUACCAUUAGCCUUCUUGGUCACCUGGGCACACUGCUUGUUCAUCUUCAGCUGAGCAUUGACCAAAACCCUCAGAUCCUUUUCCUCUGCGCAGCUUUCCAGCCACUCUGCCCCAAUCCCAUAGUAUUGCAUGGAAUUGCUGUGACAAAAGUGCAGGACCUGGCACUUGGUCUUGUUGAACUCCAUCCCAUUGGCCUCAGCCCAGUGAUCCAUCCUGUGCAGAUCCCUUUGUAGGGCCUUCCUACCUCCAGGCAGAUUGGCACUUCCUCCCAGCUCACUGUCAUCUUCAAACUUACUGAGGGUGCACUCGAUGCCCUCAUCCAGGUCAUCAAUAAAGAUAUUGAACAGGACAGGCCCCUGUACUGGCUCCUGGGGAACCAGCUUCUUCCUUGAUCUGACAGAGCCACCAGCCACCAGUAUCUCAGACAUUUGUUCUGAGACAGUUCUCUGGGCAUGUCUAUGGCCAGGGAAAUUCCAUGGGAUGCUUCUGUCCGUUUUACCAUCUGAUUAUCUCCACAGAGUACUUUAAAUUGGAAAAUCUGAAUCUGAUGAUAUCAGUAAAGGUACUGUUGCCUAUCACUUCAGAAGGCAGCCUUUCCUGGUGUCUGCAGGACUGUCCUGCAGUGCAUGCAUAGCUUGGGAAGAUGGAAUUGCAGCCAGUGGUAAUGUGCUGGGCUGCAAGGCAGGUGCAAGAGGGAGGUUGGCAUAGGGAAUCCCCUGUUCAACACAAUGUUUGAAGUUCCUGUAACCAACCAGGUUGCUUUUCUCUUUCUCUCUGCAAAUUCAAUUUCAUGUGCAGAAAAGAAUCUGAGCUGGUUUGUAAACCAAUGUCCUUUUUGAGCUCUCCUUGUGAAAGCUAAAGACUCGAUAUGUCUGAAACUCUGGGACUUCAUGUUUAAAUCCCCCUUACAGUUAAUCAGAUGGACAAUUUGUUUCUCCUGUGAGGGAUUCCCUUGCUUGCAGUCCCUAUUUCUUUCUGGGAUGCUUUUUUCCUUGGACAUUGAAAAGCCUUAGUUCUUCCUUGCUUCUUCACUCUUUCCUAUUCACUGAAAUCAACCUGGUGGCUGGAGUUUGCUGCCUGCCUUCCUUUCUUCCUGGUUUGGAUCCACAGGCCUCGCAGUCUGAGGUGAAUGCAGAGGACAGCAUGGGCUGAACCCCACUGUGGAAACUGAUGGCAUGUUUUAAUGAGAUGCUAUGUGCUUUAAGUGGAUGUUUGCUGCUUUUGCUGUCGCCUUACUUGUGCUGUGCUGUGCCAGCAUUGCCUGUUGGCCUUAAGGCAGUGUAACACAAAGGAGAGCCAGUGAGUGCUCUCUGGGGACGGUGGACAGGCCCUGAUCCUGUUUACUCAGAUGUAACCACCAAAGGAAUCAAAUGCAAAACAACACAGCUUAACCUGAUGUGAGAAAUGAAUAUGGCAAGUAGGGUUACCAGAAGAGGUUUCUUCCCUCUGUAUUUAUGAAAGGCAAGUAGAAAAGCCACUGCUCAGUCUCUAGGGCUGCACUGUCUUGGAGAAGAACCUCUCUGGAUGAGGCAGCCAGUAUCAAAGGGGAUAUGAGUGCCCUUUUGACUGGUGCUGUUCUGUUCCUAGAAGAGAUUUAGCAGACCACAUAUAUCCUGGUUUACUUGGUGUGAGAAGACACCAAAUCAGCAUAAUGUAGAGAUCCAGAACAGGCCCAGCUGGAGAAUAGACCCCUCAGAGCAGUGCUCAGAGGCUUAGCAUGUGUCUGGGUGGACAAGAGAAGCAAGAAGAUCCACACUGAACCUGUGGUGCAGCUGGCGGCGUUUGGCAUCAGUCAUCUUUGGGAGCUGUAGCCAAGUCCCAGGGUGACCAUGGGACUGAUUGCUCACGGUCCUUGCCCUUUCUGCUUCACUAUAAAUACCCACACGUUUGGGAUAAAAUAUGACAUGAGGAUGUCUGACUAACUUCAGAUGACAGGGGUUAUGGUGUCAUUAUUUAUAUCACCGUGUCAAGAGAGCAAGGAAUUUAGCCUCUGACUCUGCCUUGCAUAGCUGCUGCCAUGCUAUGCUGUGCCCAUAGCGAGGGUCAGUGGCGCAGGUCAGCAGGAAUGGUGACAGACUGUUUGUGAUUUGCAGAACCAGGUGCUCAGCCUCCCUCAAAAUCAGGCCAUUUGUUUUCAACCUUUAAUUAAAGCACUCUCACCUCCCAUAAAGUCUGACUAUUAAGUGAGAAAGAAGAUUGCUACUUAGGAAAACAUCAGAUUAUCUUUGCUUAAUGAAAUGUGUAUAUCUCAUUGCUGUGUAUCCAGGCAGGGGAAAGCAUGAAAAUGUUUACCCUCUGUAAACAGUACUUACACUCGUUGUAUUCAUACCUUCUCUCAUCACACACUGCCACUGGAUAAAGCUAAAACAUGCCCCAAAGCAGCUUUAGUGUGGUGUACGAGGCAGGUCUUGGUGGGUUACAAAUCUCCAAGGAAAACAGAAAGGCCAAGACUCCCUCUUGAAAAAGAGUGAAACUUCGAUGAAGAGAGGGAGAAAAAGAAAAUGCUUGGGCAUUGGCACAGACUGCCCAGGGUGGUGACGGAGUCGCUGUCCCUGGAGGUGUUCAGGAACCAUGCGGAUGUGGCACUGAGGGACAUGGUUAGUGGGCAUGGUGGGGGUGGGUUGGUGAUUGGACUGGGUGACCUCACUGGUCUUUUCUAACCUUAACGAUUCUAUAUACAGUAGCGUGUAACUGAGGAAUGAGAAAUGGACAGAGAUUUUAAAAAGAAUGAAUGUUGACUCAUGAUGUACAGUAAAAAAGGAACCAAGUGGCAAGUUACACAGACAGAAAACAUGAAACAUAGUGUUAACAAAAAAAUUACAGAGGUUCCUGAGCAUGAAAACUGAACCUGACAUACAGCUGAGUGGGAAAUCAAAACUCCCUGGAUGCUGAUGCCCUGAUUUACAACUAGAUUGUAUCAGAAAGACGUUUAAUCUCUCUUAGAUUUAGUAGUUGUCCACUGUUUUUUAGAGGAAUCCAUCAAGCCAACAUAUAUCAAUGUGUAUUGAGAACUACAGAAGCCGUAAAAAUCCAUAUGCUUUUCUCCUUCCUUCAAAAGUGAGGAUGUCCUCCACAUUUCACUUUUUUUUUUUUUUCCUAAAGCCUAGAAACUAUGUAGUACAUUUCUUUAUCUGAACUGAUAACUGCCUAAGAGAUUAGGUAGAUUUGUGAUUUCUUAGUAAGUACUGAAUCUAUUCUUACUCAUAAUGAACAUAAGGUCUGAGGAAAUCCUUAGGUGAGAGCCACUAGAAAAAUCUUGAUUGUUUUCCCUGCUAAAUUACUAGGUACCUACAUUUAUCAGACUGGGCAGACUGUUGUCUCUAGGACUGCAUGCUUUUAUCUUCUAGAAAUUGUAUUUUCUGCUUGGCUGGGUGCUGCCGUUCUGUCAGUUGCUGUGAUCAUGCUUGCACGUAUGCAUAGACAAGUAUCAGAGCAGUGCACAAUUGGAUAUCUACAAGUUUCAUAAGCCAAAGGAAAAAAAUGCUAACUGGAGGGUGAAAUGGUACACAGUAUGCUUACAGCUAUGUAGGCAAUAGUGUCAUUGUUCAGAACAUGAUUGAAAUAUAUCUGAUACAUCGAAAUAAAAAGCUUUCUGUAGGGUAUAAAACAGUAACAUUAAUAGCAACUUCAGUACUCAGCUCAGUAAUGAUAAAAAAGGAGCAUCUCCUUUUCCCCCAGAGAGAAGUGCCCUGCAGAAAUACUGAUCAUGAGAACUACUGCUGUCAGUAGUACCUGUAGAGAUGUGUCAGUGUUGAUUAAAAAAAAACAACUCAGUGGCACUGGGAUAACUUCUGAAAAUGGCAGAAGAAAAGCAUAGUGUCUACUUAAAUAUGUGCCAAUAUGCCAAUAAUGGAAGAGGGAUCACUAGCACUGCACUGAGGAAAAAACUAUUUAAUUCCACUCCAACACAACCUAAGGCAAUUUUAGUUGAAGAAAAAAAAUAUGGACUAGCCUCUGCAGCGUUCCACUUUACUCUUCUUUCUCCUAAAUUCUCCAGACAUUGCCUUUUCUCUAAUCUGUUUCUACUGUAUGUUUAUAGGGUUGAUUUUAUUUUCCUGCCCUGUUAUAUCAUUUCUCUGUUUCUUUGAUUCUUGUCAUUUAAUGCACCACCUUUUCUUUCUAUUUACUUUCAGUCUUCCUGAUUUUUUUUUUUGGUUGAAAAUUAGAAAGAAAUUAUUUCUAUUAAAAUUUAUCUUGGAAGCUUUGACCAAA